rnacentral:lncRNA from 1 species
GGGUAUGCUCACCUUCAUGGAUGCAGCGGCGGGAAGGCGAGAUCGACGGCGGCCGACGAAAACCUCGGUGGAAUCGUGCUUGAGCUAGGGUUUCGCGGUGAGUAGGGUGGCGGUUGGGGUUCUAGGGGGUGUUUCGGGCGGCGUCGGGGUCCUAUUUAAAGGAGAGGGUGGCCGGGGAUCUUUGGUUUGCGUGCGGCGUGAAAAUCAGGGCGGUGGCGCUCUCCCCGUCUGAUUCAGACGGAGGUAGGAGAUGACCCCCUAGUGGGUGGGACCCACUCGUGGGCCCCACGGGUCUGCGGGAUAGAGGGGGGAGAAGGGCGUGCGCGUGGUAGGACCGAACUGGGUCGUGGCCCACGCGGGCAGCGUGCACGUGCGGGGGUUGGGCCGAGAGUGAGCGCGGGGCUGGCCCAGAGAGGAAACCUUUUCUUUUUAUUUUUUUUUCUAUUUUCUUUCUUACUUAAAAAAUUAAGUCAGGCAAAUUUGGAAUUAAAUAAAAUCAAACAAUUCAAGCAAAAUAAAAUGUCGCAGCAUGAAUGCAUCAAACAAGUUUUCUAUCUUAUAUUUAAUUUUAAUUAUUUUUAUAAAUUAUUUAAUAAAUGUCUAAAAUGCCAAACUCUACGAAAUUUAAUUUAAAUUCAAUUUAAAAUUUGGAGUUAAAAAUUCGGAGUGUUAUAACACGUUUUUAAGGGCUCUAUUGGUGGAGCCAUUGAAAGCCCAAGUUUGGGUUUGGUAAUUAAUGACACCAAGUUGCUAAUGCCUUGUGUUUGUGAUUUGAGUUAGACAUAGCAACACAUAUGAUAAAGGUGCAAGAUGGCAAGGA